UACGGAGGGUGCAAGCGUUGUCCGGAUUUAUUGGGUUUAAAGGGUGCGUAGGCGGCCCGUUAAGUCCGUGGUGAAAGCCAACAGCUCAACUGUUGAACUGCCAUGGAUACUGACGGGCUUGAGUACAGACGAGGUAGGCGGAAUGGAUCGUGUAGCGGUGAAAUGCAUAGAUACGAUCCAGAACACCGAUUGCGUAGGCAGCUUACUAGGCUGUAACUGACGCUGAGGCACGAAAGCGUGGGGAGCGAACAGG
rnacentral:rRNA from 1 species